CCUGCAGUUCGGCAAAUAUAUAUUUUGAGACUAAGUCGAGUGAAUACUAGGAAAAUGAAAAAAUAUACGUCGGUGCAGUGUGGUCAUCCUACAGUCAAAUAUUACUUUUUUUCUAAUGUCUUUUUACUAAGCUUGCAUUAGUACGCGUACUAGGUGUGCACCUGGAUAAGUUACUAAGCUAAUUUAUCCUCCACGUGCCCUCUCCCUUUCUCUAAACUAAGCCUAUCUCUCUCUCUUCCCUGUACUAGUUAUGUACUAGUAGUCCUCAACCGAACAGAGCACCCACUAGUACUACUAGUCCAGCGAGAACACAAGUAAUAAUACAGACUGAUGCUCCUCUGCUCCUUGCCCAGAUCGGCGCCGCCGCCAGCGACGGGAAAGAUGCCGCUGCUAGAUCCUCCACACUCUCUCUCUCCCCUGACGUGAAUCCCCGUAUUAUCCCCAUGAAUUUCAGCCUCAACUCUCUAAUCCCCCUCUGUGUGUGUGUUCUUUUGGCUUGCAGGUCAAACCCUAUUGGGGAUGUGAUUUCCCUGCUCCAGAUUGAAGUGGUUGGCGUUGGGCGCCGCCGUGAUGCUGGAUGGUGCAGGUCAGAGCUCCAGUGCGUGUCCGUGGAGCAGAUCCACCAUGGGUGCAGGGGAAUGGAAAUGCUACUGAGAAGAAGAAGAGAGCUUGGUCUGGCUAUUUGGAAGCAGAGUGAAGAGUGUGCUACGGUGAAACCUUAGCCAGGUUACUCCUCCUCUCUUUCUAGUACCUAGCUAGUUAUGGCUGCCCAUCCCUGCUGUACAGUGUAGUCAUUUGUGGAGUCUCUCUAUUGGCUAGGAGUUGCAGCCCAUUCCUAGACCAACUGUUGGUCAAUUGACUACUGAUAUCUAUAAUGCACGUGAUGGUGGUGGUCAAUGUGUAUCCCAAAUAUGUCUCACUGUUUACUGCUUUGACCACGAGAUAUUUUUGGGUUGGUCUAAGUUUGGUGUACCCUUUGUUGUAUAGCUUAGCAUAGUCUGGUCUCUCUCUCUCUUUCUAUAUAUAUAUAUAUAUAUAUAUAUAUAUUCUCAAAGAUUUGUAAUACACCUGUACAGCUAUACUGUCUGAGGUUUAUGAAUAUAAAUAUAUAUAUACUUGAGUGGUUAUGAAUGCUUGUUGAA